AGUGAACGCUGGCGGUAGGCCUAACACAUGCAAGUCGAACGGCAGGACAGUAAGAGCUUGCGCUUACGGGUGGCGAGUGGCGGACGGGAGAGGAAUACAUCGGAACCUACUUUUUCGUGGGGGAUAACGUAGGGAAACUUACGCUAAUACCGCAUACGACCUACGGGUGAAAGCAGGGGAUCUUCGGACCUUGCGCGAUUGAAUGAGCCGAUGUCGGAUUAGCUAGUUGGCGGGGUAAAGGCCCACCAAGGCGACGAUCCGUAGCUGGUCUGAGAGGAUGAUCAGCCACACUGGAACUGAGACACGGUCCAGACUCCUACGCUAGGCAGCAGUGUGGAAUAUUGGACAAUGGGCGCAAGCCUGACCCAGCCAUACCGCGUGUGUGAAGAAGGCCUUCGGGUUGUAAAGCCCUUUUGUUGGUAAAGAAAAGCAGCAGGUUAAUACCCCGCUGUUCUGACGGUACCCAAAGAAUAAGCACCUGCUAACUUCGUG
rnacentral:rRNA from 1 species